UACAAUGUUUUUACUCUUCGUAUUAUUUGAAAUUUUUUUUGCGAUUAAUAUUUUUAUUCUUACUAGAUAAUAAAACAUGAAUGGUACUUUAUGUGUGACUAACUUUUUAAGUUUUUGUACAAAUUUUUUGAAAUAAGACAAAUGGUCAAAUGUUAAAUACGAAAA
rnacentral:pre_miRNA from 1 species